AACGAACGCUGGCGGCAUGCCUAACACAUGCAAGUCGAACGAUCCCUUCGGGGAUAGUGGCGCACGGGUGCGUAACGCGUGGGAAUCUGCCCUCAGGUACGGAAUAACUCAGGGAAACUUGAGCUAAUACCGUAUAAUGACUUCGGUCCAAAGAUUUAUCGCCUGGGGAUGAGCCCGCGUCGGAUUAGCUAGUUGGUGAGGUAAAAGCUCACCAAGGCGACGAUCCGUAGCUGGUCUGAGAGGAUGAUCAGCCACACUGGGACUGAGACACGGCCCAGACUCCUACGGGAGGCAGCAGUGGGGAAUAUUGGACAAUGGGCGCAAGCCUGAUCAGCAAUGCCGCGUGAGUGAUGAAGGCCUUAGGGUUGUAAAGCUCUUUUACCCGGGAAGAUAAUGACUGUACCGGGAGAAUAAGCCCCGGCUAACUCCGUGCCAGCAGCCGCGGUAAUACGGAGGGGCUAGCGUUGUUCGGAAUUACUGGCGUAAAGCGCACGUAGC
rnacentral:rRNA from 1 species